rnacentral:rRNA from 1 species
UCAGACAGUGUGAGAUAAGUUUCAUUGUCAAAAGGGAAACAGCCCAGACCCACAGCUAAGGUCCCAAAUGUAUGUUAAGUGGAAAAGGAUGUCCAGUUGCACAAACAACCAGGAUGUUGGCUUAGAAGCAGCCACACAUUCAAAGAGUGCGUAACAGCUCACUGGUCGAGUGACCGGGCGCCGAAAAUGUAACGGGGCUAAACAUACAACCGAAGCUUGGGCUGCACAGCAAUGUGCGGGGUAGGGGAGCGUUGUGUGCGGGGAGAAGCACGAGCGGAAGCGCGUGUGGACUGCACAGAAGUGAGAAUGCCGGAAUGAGUAGCGCGAAUUAUGUGAGAAUCAUAAUGGCCGAAAGCCUAAGGUUUCUGGAGGAAGGUUCGUCCGCUCCAGGUUAGCCGGGAGCUAAGGUGAGGCCGAAAGGCGUAGCCGAUGCACAUACGGUGGAGAUUCCGUAGCCAUCAAAAGAUUUAAGCAGAGGGACACAGUAGAAGGGUACAUGCCGGGCGUUGGUAGCCCCGGUUGCAAGGGACCGAAAUUAGAGUAGGGAAGAUGGACUUGGAUACUGGCGAGAAAAGCUCUGUGGAUAUCUGCGAUGCCCGUACCGCAAACCGACACAGGUAGGUAGGAAGAGGAUUCUAAGGCCAACGGGAGAAGGGUUGUUAAGGAACUCGGCAAGUUGACCCCGUAACUUCGGGAGAAGGGGUGCUCUGGAAACAGAGCCGCAGAGAAUAGGUCCAGGCAACUGUUUAGCAAAAACACAGCUCUCUGCUAAAUCGAAAGAUGAUGUAUAGGGGGUGACGCCUGCCCGGUGCUGGAAGGUUAAGAGGAGGAGUGAGAGCCCCGAAUCGAAGCCCCAGUAAACGGCGGCCGUAACUAUAACGGUCCUAAGGUAGCGAAAUUCCUUGUCAGGUAAGUUCUGACCCGCACGAAUGGCGUAACGAUUUGGGCACUGUCUCAACAGCCUACCCGGCGAAAUUGUAGUACCGGUGAAGAUGCCGGUUACCCGCAACUAGACGGAAAGACCCCAUGGAGCUUUACUGCAGCUUAAUACUGAGAUUCGGUAAUUCAUGUACAGGAUAGGUGGGAGACUUAGAAGCAGAGUCGUUAGGCGCUGUGGAGUCACCCUUGGGAUACCACCCUUGGAUUGCUGGGUUUCUAACCUGCGGCCAUGAAUCUGGUCGGGGGACACUGUUAGGCGGGCAGUUUGACUGGGGCGGUCGCCUCCUAAAGUGUAGCGGAGGCGCUCAAAGCUUGGCUCAGCAUGGAUGGAAAUCAUGCAAUGAGUGUAAACGUAUAAGCCAAGUUGACUGCGAGACCGACGGGUCGAGCAGGUACGAAAGUAGGAGUUAGUGAUCCGGUGGUAUGUGAGUGGAAAUGCCAUCGCUCAACGGAUAAAAGCUACCCUGGGGAUAACAGGCUGAUCUCCCCCAAGCGUCCACAGCGACGGGGAGGUUUGGCACCUCGAUGUCGGCUCGUCGCAUCCUGGGGCUGUAUUCGGUCCCAAGGGUUUGGCUGUUCGCCAAUUAAAGCGGCACGCGAGCUGGGUUCAGAACGUCGUGAGACAGUUCGGUCCCUAUCUGUUGCGGGCGUAAGAGAUUUGAAGGGAGCUGUCCUUAGUACGAGAGGACCGGGAUGGACUGACCGCUGGUGCACCAGUUGUUCUGCCAAGAGCAUAGCUGGGUAGCUACGUCGGGACGAGAUAAACGCUGAAGGCAUCUAAGCGUGAAACUCCCCCUAAGAUAAGAUCUCUCAUCCUUUAU